AGCGGCCGCCGGCACAGCGCAGCGCAGCGCAGCUCGGCGCGGCUCGGCUCGGUUCGGCAUCGCACGGAUUAAUACGGCACAGCGUGGCUUGGCAAAGCAUGGCACGGCUCGGCAUGGCUCGGCUCGGCUCGCAGGGCUUAGCACGGUGCUGCUGGCACAGCUCAGAACGGCAUGGCGUGGCUCAGCCGGUGAGGUUUAUCAUGGCAUGGCUUGGCUUGGCUGGCACGGUUUAUCAUGGCACGGCACAGCUUAGCAGCCACAGCACAGCUCAGCUAUGCACAGCUUGCCGUGGCACGGCACAGCUUGGCACCCCGUCCCUGCAGGAUGACCCUUCUGGCGCCCUGCCUUGUGCACACCCAGCACACGGUGAAGCUGCUGCCAGGUCAGCAGUGUCGCCCGAACCUGAGUUGCCAACACGGUUUGCACGUGUACAUAUUUAUUUUGCACAUAAUGUAAUCACCAGCAUUAAACUCCUUUUAUCAGCAGCAGCGCUUGGCCGUGGCAAAGUGUUUCCUGCUGUUGUAGGAAAAGGGUAUGUGGGCACUGAAUGUUGCAUGCUGUCACCUGUCCUUGGGGUGCACCUGCAGUGGGGAACCAACCCCACAAAAAGUGCCAUUUCCUUACACUGCAACCUGCAACACUUUCACUGGUUUUCCACUCUCUUUCAUUUACACUCUUAAACAUUUCCCAGUAUCAGUGCAUCCUCCCAUGAGUUCCAUCUGAGAGAGAGGAACUGGAGGGACUGAGUUCAUGGUGCAUGGAGGUGAUGCUGGAGCACAGAACCACCUCUGGUUUCAGGGUCGCUGCUGCAGGGUGAGAAACAAAGAUGUGCAAUGAAACACACCACCUCCUGGCAGAUGCUUUAUGUUCCAACAGUGCUGCCAUUACUGAGCCCACAGGGUCGCCUCUCACAAAGCUGUGUGCUCUGGACUUUGGGAAGUGGCUCUGUUGGGUCCACCAUCGCCAGCAUGGCCUUGAUACAGCCCGACGCUGCUUCUCCUCUGCUAUCAAUAACACUGAUAGUGCUGGGCUGUCAUUUCCCCCUCUUUGGGGGCUUUUCUUCUUUCCACCUCAAAGCUGACCUCAAAACUGAUGCAGGAGGAGAGACCUCUGUUCAAAGGAGCCAUUCAAGUCCAAUGGAAAGAGGAAAAAAAGUCUGUCCUCAAACUAAUUCAAGUUGUGUUCCAACAACAACACGGCAUUAACAAACUAAGAUAAUGCUCCUAUAACAGAAAGAGCACAAAACACAGACCAUGGCCAAUGCACUGUGUAGCCCUUGGUGCUUUUAUACUCUCAUUUUUGUGAGGUUUUGUUGCUAUAUCUGUAAGAGCACAAGACAUUGGCCAUGGUCAACGCAUUGCAUAGCCCUCAGUGCUCUUAUUCCCUAUGUUUGGUCUUUUGGGUUUUCUGCUCUAUCAGUAAGAGCACAAAAUGUAGUCCACAACCGAUGCGUUGUGUAGCCCUUAGUGCUUUCAUUCUCUAUUUCUGAUCUUUUGGGUUUUCUGCUCUACCAGUAAAAGCCCCAAGCGUAGACCAUGGCCAAUGUGUUGCGUAGCCCUUGGUGCUCUUCUCUAUUUUUGGCCUUUUGGAUUUUCUCCUGUACCAGUAAGAGCACAGAAUGUACUCCAUAGCUGAUGCAUUGUGUAGCCCUUGGUGCUUUCGUUCUCCAUGUUUGGUCUUUUGGGUUUUCUGCUCCACCAGUAAGAGCACCAGGCACAGACCACGGCCAAUGUCUUGCGUAGCCCUUGGUGCUCUUCUUCUCUAUUUUUGAUCUUUUGCUUUUCUCCUGUACCAGCAAGAGCACAAAACGCACUCCACGACCAACACAAUCGCAUGGCCUUUGAUGCUCUUAUUCCCUAUUUUCGGACUUCUGGUGUUUGCCAGGUCCCACCGUGGCCCCAUGGAAGCGGUGCCAACAGCCACACUGUGCCCAUGGCCCCACGGCCGCUCCCCAGCUCCGCGCCGCUCGGAUCGCAGCAGAACAAACGCAUAAAAAUGAUCUUAUUUAUUACAGGAGACAUGUUUUAAAACAACUGACAAAAUUGCAAGAUGUAAAACGACAAGCGAGCGCUUUUUCUUUUUUAAACCCAUAUAGACUUCUGGCAAUGAUAAAAAUAGUGUUUUCCUUUUUAAAGUUGGAAUUAAUCUUUCUUUCGAAAGCAAUCAUGUAGCGGGAGAGGCAGGAAGACGCUCAGAUAUUAACUGGUGCUUGCUGGGUGAUGGUUACUUAUGGGAGAGCCGGUGGCCGCUUUCCUCUGCAGGGCGAUUCACAUUAAAGCACAGCGCCAACAUUAAAGGAAAAAGGAUGAAUGGCGCGAGGGGGGAGGAGAGCGUCGCCCACUUAUCAAAGCUGCGCCGUGCUCGGGGAUGGGCAGCAGAUCAAAACGCACAGCGUGGCUGACGCCGGGGCACUUUGACAUCGCUUUGGACUCCUUUCACUGUUUGUCUUCCCGUGCAACGCUGCUGUGUCAGCGUGGGUUGAGCCGGCCUCCGUUUGCACCGCGGCGGUUGAGCGGUGCCUCCUCGUGCCUCGGUUUCCCCAUCGCUGAGGUGAGGAUUGAGCAGAGCCUCCGCCGCAGCGUUCAGCAUCACAGCUCUCUGGGGGUGAUGCACCCCUCCCCGUGUUCCAUCGGGCCGCCACUGCGGGUGGGUCCAGCCCUCAGCAUCACUCAUACCUCUGUUUCCUUUAGUUCUUUGCCAGUGUUAGUUAAUUAAACUAUGCAAAUUAAAACAACUUAAUUUAUAUAAUAUCAGUGCCGGAGCCUCAAACCAUUUGGUGUAGCUCAUCUGGCACGUACGUUACAUAAAAUGUUUGGAGCGGCUCUAAUAAAAAUGAAAAAGGCUGUAAAUCAA